rnacentral:rRNA from 1 species
AGCUUCAGUAGCGUAUAUUAAAGUUGUUGCAGUUAAAAAGCUCGUAGUCGCAUUUCUGGCGAGAGGAUCCGGUCCGACCUUUUGGUGGGUUCUUGGGUCUCUUUCGCCAUCCUUGAGUGGUCCGUUCUGGCAUUAGGUUGUCGGAGCGUCAGCCGCUCAUCGUUUACUGUGAGAAAAUUAGAGUGUUCAAAGCAGGCUUAUGCCGUUGAAUAUAUUAGCAUGGAAUAAUAAGAUAGGACCGCGGUACUAUUUUGGUGGUUUGCGCACCAAGGUAAUGAUGAACAGGGACAGUUGGGGGUAUUUGUAUUUCGUUGUCAGAGGUGAAAUUCUUAGAUUUACGAAAGACAAACUACUGCGAAAGCAUUUACCAAGGAUGUUUUCA